ensembl:lncRNA
UGAACCCAGUAGAGCCCUCAGGUCUUCCAGAAGUGGCCUUUUAACAGCACCCAAAGAACCAAAACAUACAGUGAAGCAUCUUUUUAUUACUGUGUCCCUCGAUUAUGGAAUAGCCUGUCUGGAGAUCUGAGGGUGACUCAUAAUAUUAAUACUUUUAAAAGCAAACUUAAGACCUACUUUUUUAUCCUGGCUUUUAACUAAUUUUAUUUAAAAAUUUCAUCUAUUUUAGGUGAAGCGUGUGCACAGGAGGCUGCAGCAACAGGUGUGAUUCAUCCUAAUCAGCGGGAGCAGAGCAUGAACAGGUGUGAUUCAUCCUAAUCAGCGGGAGCAGAGCAUGAACAGGUGGCAGUGAUCCAAUCAAGCCUCAGCCAUGAGAACAGACGCCACUCACUACUCAACACUGGGCUAUAAACCGUCUACAGUUAGUUCUGUGCACUCCUUGCCUUGCACUCCUAGUAAUUCUGCCUGCUUGUGCCACCACUGGACCAUCUGUGUUAAGGCCUGCCAUCUGCUGCCCUUUGGAACCCUGGAACUCCCAUUCCCUCAUGGUCCCUCUGGAUCCAUCCUGCCUCACCACACACCAAAUCCACACUGCUUCCUCUCCCUCGGACUCCCCUUCUAUCCCUUCUGCACCCAGAUCUUCCACCUUGUAUUCCAGUCAGCUAAAUUCCUGUAUUGCUGAGCCAGACUGGCCGUGUAGCCAAACUGUUAGGUUGUUAUUCGGAACGUUGUCUAUGGUCAUUUUUAGAUUUGUACUCUUUAAUCUAGUUUGUAUUUUGAUCUCGUAUUAUUGCCCCGUUUCCCAGGUUAGUAUAGUUCUAGUAUUCUUUGUGUCUGUGUUGUUUGUUCUGCUAACUGCCUGCUUAUGUGUCACCUUCUGUGGGUUUAAGGCUUUCAUCUUUAGUAAUUCUAGUUGCAGUUAUUCUUCUGCCCGUCCUCUAGAAGUCUUAUAGUCCUCUGGCUGUCCUAAGCGGAUCUUGCCUUGCCUUGUUUUCCCUUCCCAUUACAGCCAACCAGUUACAAUUGUAGUACUUCCUGUUAUUU